rnacentral:rRNA from 1 species
UACGUAGGGUGCAAGCGUUGCCCGGAAUUAUUGGGCGUAAAGAGCUCGUAGGCGGUUUGUCGCGUCUGCUGUGAAAACUCGGGGCUUAACCCCGGGCCUGCAGUGGGUACGGGCAGACUAGAGUGCGGUAGGGGAGACUGGAAUUCCUGGUGUAGCGGUGAAAUGCGCAGAUAUCAGGAGGAACACCGGUGGCGAAGGCGGGUCUCUGGGCCGAUACUGACGCUGAGGAGCGAAAGCGUGGGGAGCGAACAGG